rnacentral:rRNA from 1 species
GAUGAACGCUGGCGGCGUGCCUAAUACAUGCAAGUCGAGCGAACAGAUGAUGAGCUUGCUCCUCUGACGUUAGCGGCGGACGGGUGAGUAACACGUGCAUAACCUACCUCUAUGACUGGGAUAACUACGGGAAACCGGAGCUAAUACCGGCUCAUAUAUUCAACCGCAUGGUUCAAUAGUGAAUGACGGCUUUGCUGUCACUUAUAGAUGGUUCCGCGCCGCAUUAGCUAGUUGGUAAGGUAACGGCUUACCAAGGCAACGAUGCGUAGCCGACCUGAGAGGAUGAUCGGCCACACUGGAACUGAGACACGGUCCAGACUCCUACGGGAGGCAGCAGUAGGGAAUCUUCCGCAAUGGGCGAAAGCCUGACGGAGCAACGCCGCGUGAGUGAUGAAGGUCUUCGGAUCGUAAAGCUCUGUUAUUAGGGAAGAACAAAUGUAUAAGUAACUAUGCACGUCUUGACGGUACCUAAUCAGAAAGCAACGGCUAACUACGUG